rnacentral:tRNA from 1 species
CGCAGGAUGGAGAAACGGUAUCUCACGAGGCCCAUAACCUCGGGUUCCGGGUUCGACCCCCGGUCCUGCUA